rnacentral:rRNA from 1 species
GAUGAACGCUAGCGGCAGGCUUAAUACAUGCAAGUCGAGGGGCAGCGCAGUGUAGCAAUACAUGGGCGGCGACCGGCAAACGGGUGCGGAACACGUACGCAACCUUCCUUUAAGUGGGGGAUAGCCCAGGGAAACUUGGAUUAAUACCCCGUAAUAUUAUGAAGUGGCAUCACUUUAUACUUAUAGCUCCGGCGCUUAAAGAUGGGCGUGCGACUGAUUAGGUAGUUGGCGGGGUAACGGCCCACCAAGCCUGCGAUCAGUAACUGGUGUGAGGCCAGGACCGGGAACACGGGCACUGAGACACGGGCCCGAAUCCUACGGGAGGCAGCAGUAAGGAAUAUUGGUCAAUGGACGCAAGUCUGAACCAGCCAUGCCGCGUGGAGGAUGAAGGUCCUCUGGAUUGUAAACUUCUUUUAUUUGGGAAGAAACCCACUGUUUCUACGGUGGUUGACGGUACCAGAUGAAUAAGCACCGGCUAACUCCGUGCCAGCAGCCGCCGUAA